AACAACACUUGUGAUGGUUCAGCCCAACAGCCAUUACCUGUGACUUUUCAGAUGCCCUGUCCCUAUUUCUGCCCAUUCCUGUCUCCUGGCCCUCAGGAUCAUAAAGGACAGUGAGGAAGACAGUUAUGAGACGAAGGGCUCAGAAAGGUCCAACAGCUCACCCAAAACUGCUCUGGAUUUGCUGGAGGCGGAGGGGCAGUGCCUCUCUCCCUGGGUGAAUCAAGGCUGAUGUGGACAGUGAGACCUCCGUCCCCACUGCGAGCAGCAGGGGCAUGCCAAGGUCCUAUCUGCCUGACCAGGGAGCCUCACCCGGCUGUUGCUGGCUGCUUGGUGGGGACUCAGGCUGCAAGAUGCUGAGGAUGUUAUUUAGCAGCAGCAGGAAUAAUAAUAUAAUAAUAAUAUUAAUGAUAGCAACAAUAGUAAAAAUGAUGACAGUGAUAAUAGUUAGCAUUUAUAGAACACCAUACGUGAAGAGCCUUACAUGCAUAUUGUCAUUUAGUCCUUAUUGGAACCCUAUGAGGCUGGUACCAUUAUUUAUCCCC
rnacentral:antisense_RNA from 1 species